rnacentral:lncRNA from 1 species
UGGCGCCUGCCGCACUGCUUAUAGGAGUAGAAAUUGGGGGCCAGAGCUCACUGGUGACGUCGUCGUCACGUGACCAAGAGCUGCCUAGAGCUGAAGUCCUGCUAGUCGCCUCUGUCUGGGUACCAGCCCCCUAUUACUCUGCAGGCGUGUGAAGGAAGGAGAAAAGUAGCCCGGGACCGUGCAGGUCGGUGGGAGCGUGGGCUCUGCUUGGAGAGAGGUGGGGGUGGGAGAGGGCCAAGAGCGCCACGAUCCAGGUUCAGGCCAACUGGGGCUGUGUCCCUUCUCACCUACUUUAUAAAUACCUCCCCCCCAAUGCACAUUUGAGUAGAGAACUGGUGGACUUCGGGCGGGGGCUGAGGGGAGUGAAUGGUAACUGAGACUCCGGGGAAAGAAAGGGUCCACAACCAGGGCAUUCGUGUCCCAAGUGCUGCUCCGUCUACCAAGCACUCCGUUCCUUCAGUCCCCUGUCUGCAGGUUUGUAGCUCUGUUGGCCCGUAGGUCGCUGUAAAAGUCGCGGCGAGGGAAGGAGCAAACUGCCUUGGGACCCUGCAGCUGUCCUUCUGCCAGGCUGUCUGUUCAUCAGUCACCGUGGGAGGAGUUCUGACAACAGAAGACAAGGGAAGAAGAACGAAUUUACCUGACUUUGAUAGAGAUUCAUCAAAAGACAGCUACAGGAGCCUGGGAGAGGCUGAAGACCACUACCCUCCACCAUUACACACCCUGGCCCUAAGAUUCUUCUUAAACAAGUGGAGAAACGCCUUCUCCCAUCCUGCCUCU